rnacentral:rRNA from 1 species
CCUACGGGGGGCUGCAGUAGGGAAUCUUCCGCAAUGGACGAAAGUCUGACGGAGCAACGCCGCGUGAGCGAAGAAGGUCUUCGGAUCGUAAAGCUCUGUUGUUAGGGAAGAACAAGUAUCGGAGGAAAUGCCGGUACCUUGACGGUACCUGACGAGAAAGCCACGGCUAACUACGUGCCAGCAGCCGCGGUAAUACGUAGGUGGCAAGCGUUGUCCGGAUUUAUUGGGCGUAAAGCGCGCGCAGGCGGUCCUUUAAGUCUGAUGUGAAAUCUUGCGGCUCAACCGCAAGCGGUCAUUGGAAACUGGGGGACUUGAGCGCAGAAGAGGAAAGCGGAAUUCCACGUGUAGCGGUGAAAUGCGUAGAGAUGUGGAGGAACACCAGUGGCGAAGGCGGCUUUCUGGACUUAGACUGACGCUGAGGUACGAAAGCGUGGGGAGCAAACAGGAUUAGAUACCCUAGUAGUC